AUGUAUAAGAUGAGAAAACUGUGGUGUGCUCCAUAUCUUGAUGGGCGUUGUUUCCUAGGGUUGAGCAGCAAUCAGCGGAGUGAGAGUUUAAACUCGGUGAUACAUGCGCAUCUUGAGGCUAAGAUGACGUUGUUUCAAAUGCUAGAGCAUUAUGAGUGUUGCCUUGCAUCGCGACGCUUGAACGAGGCUCUCCAAGACAUCGAGGACUUGCAGUCCGUUCCAUUAACAGAGGAAAAUGCUUCAAGUCUUGAGAAACAUGCCGCAAAAGUUUUCACUCCUAUUGUUUUUAAGUUGGUCUUAUGGAGCAUAAAUGUUGUAAGAAAAUGUGAGAUCAGGGAGGUACUUGAUGCAGCAGAAGUUACCACAUACGUUGUGUCUAAGAACGAAAGAAUGGAUAAAAACAUCAAGGUGCGCACGUAG
rnacentral:rRNA from 1 species